GCGCGAUUAGCUCAGUGGUAGAGCGUUUGCAUGACACGCAAAAGGUCGCAGGUUCGAUCCCUGCAUCGCGCA
rnacentral:tRNA from 1 species